rnacentral:rRNA from 1 species
GUCCACGCCGUAAACGAUGGAUGCUAGCCGUUGGCAGGCUUGCCUGUCAGUGGCGCAGCUAACGCAUUAAGCAUCCCGCCUGGGGAGUACGGUCGCAAGAUUAAAACUCAAAGGAAUUGACGGGGGCCCCGCACAAGCGGUGGAGCAUGUGGUUCAAUUCGAAGCAACGCGAAGAACCUUACCAACCUUUGACAUGUCCCGUAUGGGUUUCAGAGAUGAGAUCCUUCAGUUCGGCUGGCGGGAACACAGGUGCUGCAUGGCUGUCGU